rnacentral:lncRNA from 1 species
GGUGCCAGAAGUUUCAGUAUCAAGCAAAGGCCUGGUUUCUGCUUCCAAGAUAGCUCUUUGAGUGCUGUGUCCUCACAUGGUGGAACAGCAGAAGGGCAAACAAGGACUAAGCCAUUUUCUUCAGACGUUUCAUAAGGAGACCCAUCUGAUGAAGUGGCACUCCCAAAGAAAAGAUAAAGUCAAAUCUGGCUGGCCAGUUACAACUUCAGAGCUCUUUCAUAACUUUCUGAGGUUGUAGAUAAAUUGGACCUUCGCAGAAGACCGUGGCUGUGGACAAGUAAACAAUUCCUAUCAUACAUUUCUCACUGGAGGGAAAGUUAAAAGUUAGAUUCAAUAAAAGUGACCGCCAUGACUUAACUAAACCAUCCAGCAUCUCCUUGCCGACAGCCUGCCUUAUAUUUACAUGAAAGGAUUUCCUGCCAGUUUAUCAUCUUAGUCUUAAUACCUAGGCCUUUAUCCCCUCAUCUCUAUCCUACCAAUUGCCUGUCUUUUCAUUUUGCACAGAUGGAAUGGGCAAUUGAAGAAGUAAGGCAUCAUUACCUUCUUCUUUUUAAAGAUGUAGGGAGUGAGCACCAGGUUCUGUUCUCAGCAAACCUCUUUAAUCCUAGUGGGGUUGGUUAUAGCAACUUCAAGCCUACCUGACUCCAGUUUUCUCUUCCAAAUCAAUCUUUAAUCCUCAAAAAGGUUGAUUUGAUUGCACAGUCCUUGCUUACUGUAUUUCAAUGGUUCCCUAGGGUUUUCAUAUUAUAGCUGGAGUUCCUUAGCUUGGGAAAAAAAAUUCAUUUUAAGCCCCUUGACUCUCCUUUAUUUUUGUAUUUAACUUUUUAAAAUAAAAAAAUCUGAAAUAUCCUAACAUGUAGAAAUUUGCAGAAGAUCAUUCAUCUUUCUAAAAGCUAGCUUCCUCUAGUCAUCAUUUCCCACUCUAUGCACCAGCCAUGACUUGAGCCCCUAAAAUUUCUCUUGCUAUUUAACACUUCCAUGAUUGUGUCAAUCCUG